GAUGAACGCUAGCGGCAGGCUUAAUACAUGCAAGUCGUGGGGUAGAGAGGUGCUUGCACUUCUUGAGACCGGCAAACGGGUGCGGAACACGUACACAACCUUCCUUUUAGAGGGGGAUAGCCCAGGGAAACUUGGAUUAAUACCCCGUAAGAUGUUGGUGAGGCAUCUCACUGAUAUUAUAGCAGCGAUGCGCUAGAAGACGGGUGUGCGUAUGAUUAGGUAGUUGGCGGGGUAAUGGCCCACCAAGCCUACGAUCAUUAACUGGUGUGAGAGCACGACCAGUCACACGGGCACUGAGACACGGGCCCGACUCCUACGGGAGGCAGCAGUAAGGAAUAUUGGUCAAUGGACGCAAGUCUGAACCAGCCAUGCCGCGUGGAGGAUGAAGGUCCCCUGGAUUGUAAACUUCUUUUAUCUGGGACGAAAAAAGGGGAAUUCUUUCUCAACUGACGGUACCAGAUGAAUAAGCACCGGCUAACUCCGUGCCAGCCGCCGCUGUAAGAC
rnacentral:rRNA from 1 species